rnacentral:tRNA from 2 species
GCCCCAGUAGCACAGCCCGGUUUAGUGCACCUGACUUGUAAUCAGGGGGUCGCGAGUUCGAAUCUCGCCUGGGGCUCCA